GCUGGGCUUGGUGACGCACGCCUGUAAUCCUAGCAGCUAGGGAGCCUAAGGCAGGAGGAUCUUGAGUUCAAAGCCAACUUCAGCAAUUUAGCUAGGUGCUAAGCAACUCAGUGAGACCCUGUCUCCA
rnacentral:sRNA from 1 species